ensembl:lncRNA
GGAGAAAUAACACUGGGUUACUCAAAUGAGAGACUGGAAACAUAACAUUCAAUUAAAUAACUUUAUUGAAACAAAUUAAUGAAUAAGUUAGUCAAAUUAGUUCUCAACAAGUAGUAAGCUUUUUAUCGUUUCACUUUUAGAAACCAAAUCAGGUGUGAAUUAGUAAAUAAAAACUCUAAAAAUCAUCAUUAUUCCAUUGGUAACUUCAUCAAUCAUUGAAAUUGCAUGGAAGACAUUUUGUUAGCAUUAUUUUAUUGCUUCGACGUUGUGUUAAUGUCCUUAUAACAAUGUUUCCUUUCAUUAGAGGGAUUUAAAGAAGUGAGGGAGGAUGGAUGGAAUGUUGUAAUGGCAGCAAGUCAGAGGGCCCGUCCCAAAUGGCAUCCUAUUCCCUAUAUAGUGCACUACUUUUGAGCAGGGCCCAUCAGGCUCUGGGUCAACAGUAGUGCACCACAAGGAAUAGGGUGCCAUUUGGGAUGAAGGCAGAGUGAGUGGUGUGAUGGAAUCGGUAAAGGUACAGAAAGAGAAGUACAUGCAGGAGAAGACUUGAGAUUGGAUCAUGCAUAGCAUUCGUGUCGAUUAGAAUAUCAGAGAUGUGCGGAUCUCAGUUCCUAUAGAUGCUAACGCCCCGUUAGAGGUGGCCAGGGCUCUGAGGUAGUUGUGUGGAAGCCAUAUGAUCUACGUGACCAUGCGUAUGAAGGGACAGUAAUGUCACUGUGUGACGCUCAAGGUCAUGCCUCCUGUCACAGUUUAAAAUUGGACAGAAUUUAAAUACAUAAGAGUUGCAAUGGUUACAUUUUAAAAAAUGUGCAAUUGACACGUUCAUCCCAGUCUUGUGGGACAAAUAACAUGUUGCUGUGUAAUAAAGGGACUGAGAUCACAAAGGAAAAUAUACAUUCCCUCAAACCAGUAGUUAUAUUUGUGUGAUGUAAUAUGUAGCACAUGGUUCUGUAAUCUAGCCACUCAACACCAUUGGCAGGAAGACCCAGAGGACCCCAUUCAUGUCACUCAGAGAAGAAAAUAUAAAGAUAUUCAACUCCAGAGACUAACACAUUUCAUGCGACACAACGGUUUAAUAUAGAUUCAUGUGUACUGUGUUGCUCAGAAUGAACAAUGAAUUGGUUGGACUUUCAAUCUGAUGUCAUUUGGGUUGUAGUUUAGGACAAUAAGAAAAAUCUAUUUACCAUCCAACAAUACAGUGCCUUAAUGAACGUGUUGUUGCCAACGUACUGUAACAAAAGCACCUGAUUGUGCCAUUGAGUUAAAACUCCCAAGAGUAAAAUGUUUCUCAGAAUCUCCAGUCGCUUUGAAUGGAACAUUUAUGCACCUGAAUCAACUAACUGCUGGCUUGAUUGAACCAAAUUAACUUGUCCAAGCCUCUCAUGGGGCCAUAGACUUUCUUGCACUGGCUGAAAACAGAACUGUGAUUCUGAGAAAAAUAAAAUGUCCUCCAUUGUUAGGGCAGGAUGCAAUUAUGGAUAACGACAGUCAAAUCAAUAGUUGAGCUCUGGGAAUUGUUGUAUAACGUGUGUGUGUGUGUGAGUGAGUGAGUGAGUGAGUGAGUGAGUGAGUGAGAGAGAGAGAGAGAGAGAGAGAGAGAGAGAGAGAGAGAGAGAGAGAGAGAGAGCGAGAGAGAGAGACAUUCUCUAACUGGGAACAGUCACAUGUGUCUUUGAUUAGACAAAAAUGCUACAUUUAUUUGAAGAUUUUAAAGAUAUCAUAUCACAAACAAUGGGACACAAAUAGUGACUGAAAUCUUACAUUCACUUUAAACAAUCAAAAGCAUUAAAAAAACACAAUCAUAGAAAUGUGACAUGUUCUUCUAGCUCUCAGAGGAGAAACAGUGGAGGUAUGAACAAAUAAGAUAAAAAAAUCAACACAACUUGAAACAAAUGGCAGACAAAAAACAUCGAAAUAGGACACCUUUUCUGAUUAGGUUUAUUUCUGGAUCCUCUUCAGGUGCCAUAGUGUCCACUACAGUGUUCUCCAGUUCUGUCCAUUAGAAACACAUUCCAUACAGUAUCUCUAUGAGCGAACCAUUGUUUAGGGUCAGUAAACCAUAAACAUAUGGCUAAAGUGGACAAGCUAUUCUAGAUAACGCAAGAGGGGCUUCUGCAUUGAAUUCUGUCAGGGUAAGAGGGGAAUUCUGUCAGGGUUAGAGGUGAAAUCUGUCAGGGUUAGAGGUGAAUUCUGCCAGGGUAAGAGGUGAAAUCUGUCAGGGUUAGAGGUGAAAUCUGUCAGGGUUAGUGGUGAAAUCUGUCAGGGUUAGAGGUGAAUUCUGUCAGGGUUAGAGGUGAAUUCUACCAGGGUUAGAGGUGAAUUCUGCCAGGGUAAGAGGUGAAUUCUGCCAGGGUUAGAGGUGAAAUCUGUCAGGGUUAGUGGUGAAAUCUGUCAGGGUUAGAGGUGAAUUCUGCCAGGGUUAGAGGUGAAUUAAGCCAGGGUUAGUGGUGAAUUAAGCCAGGGUUAGUGGUGAAAUCUGUCAGGGUUAGAGGUGAAUUCUGCCAGGGUUAGAGGUGAAUUCUGACAGGGUUAGAGGUGAAUUCUGUCAGGGAUAGAGGUGAAAUCUGUCAGGGUUAGAGGUGAAUUCUGCCAGGGUUAGAGGUGAAUUCUGCCAGGGUUAGAGGUGAAAUCUGCCAGGGUUAGAGGUGAAUUCUGCCAGGGUUAGAGGUGAAUUCUGCCAGGGUUAGAGGUGAAUUCUGUCAGGGUUAGAGGCAGUAAAGGAGUCAUUAUAAGACCGAACUGUUGGCUAAGAUGCAUGCAUAUAUAAGCGAGGCUACAGUACCAGAGAUCAUGCUUCUGACAUGGAUGGAUGCCUCCCAGGCAUUAUCUUAUCAGCCACCACCUGACCGUGCCAUUAAGCAUUCACAUGACUGGCUAUAGAACAACAACAGUAGAAGUUGAGAAGGUGCCUGUGUCGGGGUGAACCAACUAGAAAAUAGUUCUCUCUUUAUCUCCAAUGAGAGAAACUAAGGCUCUGGUCCAACAUCCAGACUAGCACACUGCUUUGAAGCUAUUAUAGUUGGUGUAUGCCUUAGCACGCUAGUGUCGAUGUUUGGAACAUAGCUGAUGUAGUUGAUUGGUUUGGAAUACACCUCAUCAUAGACAUGAGCUGAAUGGCCCACCUAAACCACCUAGCCCACACAGGAGUGAGAUACUGCGCAACAAAGACUGAUGAGUAUUGAUACAGAGAGAGGGACACAACCCUCUAAAAUCUGACCAGGGAUCAGUGUUGUCUUACCCUUUGGUCUGGUCUGAGGAGCAUGCAUGCCUGAGGGGUGGGCUUCAAGGGAGAGGUUUUUAAAGGGAUCAACAGGUAGAAAACAUACAAUAUCCCUGUUAACCUGACCCUGUGUGAAGAAGUGUAUAAAGUAUCUUGCGAAUGCCAUGAGGGAAUGCUAGAGAGAGAGAACGAGAGAGUGCCCAUUCCAGAACUCAGAUUGUGAAAAUAAAGAGCCUUCCUUCUUGUCAGUCUGUUUCUCCCUAUCAUACAAGACCAUAUUGACUUUAUUAAAGAAAGAGUGACUUCCUUUUCUUUCUUGUAAAGUGGGCUUAUUGCAGAGAGAAUCAUGAAUCAGGGGAAUGUGGUAGAGUGGCAUGGAUGUACUUCAAUGAAGGAUGAAAUAAGUGUCACAUACAUGUGAAGCCUGAGUUCUUCUCUUGUCGUAACCUAGUCAGUCACUUUCUUUUCAGGAGAACAUACUGUGAAUGAAAACGAGGGAAGAACGAGUACCAUGUAACAACCUGGACAAGAGGGCAAAGUGAGAGAGCUGAUGUUUUGGUGAAACGUUUGUAGGUUUUUCCAUCCAUGUCAAGUCAUCCAUUUUGGGAUCUGGGUAGCCCCACAGGAGUAGAGGUGGACAUGAAGUCUUUGCAGUGCCUCGGAAAGAGGGUUGAGUUGAGCUGUGGUCAGUAUGGUGGGGACGUGAGGUGAGGAGGGGACAGCAAAGACCCCGGGCACACAGUACAUUCAUCAGAAGCUCAGAGACAGUCUCCCAUAGCAUCAGAUGAGAGCCUGACAAACAAGAACUGAAAUUACCCUGAAACAAAAGUCCUGAAUGUUGGAGAGCUGCAGCAGUUCUUCACUCAUUCAUCUGGAAGUUUACUGAUUACAAACAAAUAAACAAAUAAAGCAGGAGAAUAAAUAAAUAUUACUGAUACCAGAACACAGAAUCUGGUAAAAAAUGUACAAAAAACCCAACUUUGUUAAAAGUUCAUAUCUAUACUUGCAGGUUUAGGAACAUGCAUAGAUAGAUACAAUAUGUUUAACGUUGUUGUUGAGUGAAACUGGUUUGGUUUUGUUGUCAAGUAGUAGUCAUACGCUCUCAUUUCUUCUUCUUUUACCACGGAGGAACUGAGACAGAGAGGAACUGAGACAGAGAGGAACUGAGACAGAGAGGAACUGAGACAGAGAGGAACUGAGACAGAGAGGAACUGAGACAG